CGAAAUGCAAAGAAUCAAAUCAGUGAGAGAAAAAACGAGAGAGACUAUCAAAAUGCCAACAAAUGCGACCCAGCUGCACUGUUCCAGAAUUGUUCCAUAAUUUUUCCUUGUUUUUUAAUUUUUCUAAUUCAAUUUUGCAAUGACCGCAUCUUCCGCUUGCCCUGGAAGGCGCUUCAUAAUAUGCAACUGAGGUUACACUAUCCCAGAUUUAUUCCCAAUUUUUUUUUCAAUUUUUUCCAAAUUUUUCCGAUUCUUUGAUUAAUUAUUCGAUUUUCCCGGCCAUUUUUCCAACCCCUGUCAUUUUCUCUAAGCUCCGCCCACCGCGAGUACAGCUAGCGCCAUGUGGCGGAAUUUCGGUGAACUAAAACUACGAAUAAGGCAAAAGUUUUGACCCUCCUCGAAUCAAAACCGUAAAAGUAUUGACUGUUCUCCAAGCGAAAAACGCAAAAGUUUUGACCCUUCACUAAGCAAACCGGAAAAGUAUUGACCUUCCUCUAAGCGAAAAACGCAAAAAAAUUGACCGUUCGGUGGGUCAGUCAAUACUUUACCGGCUACCCCCUGUGAUUUUCUGGGUAUUAAUUCAAUAAUUAGAAAAACGAAAAAACAAGGAAAAAUUAGGAAACAAUUGUGGAAUGGGUGCAUUUUGAUGGUCUCUCUCGUUCACCUUAACGUGUGUGGCUUCACGCGCAAAUGACGUUUGCAGAAAAACUACCUACAGAAGUCUGAUGCAGGAGACGACGCAGAGUUUCCAAACUCCAUCUGUAGCAACAGACUGAGUCGGCGUCAGCAUUUUUUGAUCACAGUGGAGAAGCUGCCUGUGCAACUGGUCCAAGAAUAAGAUCAUUUUCGUCCAGGGUGAUGUGUUAGUUGUCUUCAGUCAGGUGCCGUUUCUGUGCCAUUGCUCCUCAUCGUGACUUAUUGAUCUUAAUGAGGAUACUAAUUAUAUCUUGUUGAGGCAUCAAAUUUAAUGUAUAUCUAUAGAAUAAUAAUAGGCGACGUUUUAUAAAAUAGAAACAUCAUGUUUUAAUAAUCAUUAAUUCGAUAGUCAUAGUUUAUGUUCGAUCCCAUUUAAAAAUAUCAUCUCUUAACUGUUAAGUAUAGAAAUAUCUAUUAUACGUCUAGGCAAAUUCCUAAUGGAAUUUCACAAGCGAUGAUAAAAGUUCAUUAUAUGUGUUGUAAACGCUCGAUUU